rnacentral:rRNA from 1 species
GAUGAAUGCUGGCGGCGCGCCUAAUAUAUGCAAGUCGAGCGAACAGACGAGGAGCUUGCUCCUCUGACGUUAGCGGCGGACGGGUGAGUAACACGUGGCUAACCUACCUAUAAGACUGGGAUAACUUCGGGCAAUCGGUGCUAAUACCGGAUAAUAUAUUGAACCGCAUGGUUCAAUAGUGAAAGACGCUUUUGCUGUCACUAAUUGAUGUAUCCCCCCCGCAUUAGCAAGUUGGUAAGGUAACGACUUACCAAGGCAACGAUGCGUAGCCCACCUGAGAGGAUGAUCGCCCCCACUGGCUCUCAGACACCUUCCAGACUCCUACGCGAGGCAGCAGUAUCGAAUCGUCCGCAGUAGGCGAAAGCAUGACCUACCAACGCCGCGUGAGUGAGGAGGUUCUUCGCAGCGUAGUACUCUGUUAUCAGGAAAGAACAAACGUGUAAGUAUCUAUGCACGUCUUGGCGGUACUGAAUCAGAAAGGCACGGCUAACUACGUG